UCGAGCGGGGGAGGUUGCUUCGGUAACUGACCUAGCGGCGGACGGGUNNNUNNNNCUUANGAAUCUGCCUAUUAAUGGGGGACAACAUCUCGAAAGGGAUGCUAAUACCGCAUACGCCCUACGGGGGAAAGCAGGGGAUCACUUGUGACCUUGCGUUAAUAGAUGAGCCUAAGUCGGAUUAGCUAGUUGGUGGGGUAAAGGCCUACCAAGGCGACGAUCUGUAGCGGGUCUGAGAGGAUGAUCCGCCACACUGGGACUGAGACACGGCCCAGACUCCUACGGGAGGCAGCAGUGGGGAAUAUUGGACAAUGGGGGGAACCCUGAUCCAGCCAUGCCGCGUGUGUGAAGAAGGCCUUAUGGUUGUAAAGCACUUUAAGCGAGGAGGAGGCUCUCUUGGUUAAUACCCAAGAAGAGUGGACGUUACUCGCAGAAUAAGCACCGGCUAACUCUGUGCCAGNAGCCGCGGUAAUACAGAGGGUGCGAGCGUUAAUCGGAUUUACUGGGCGUAAAGCGUGCGUAGGCGGCUUUUUAAGUCGGAUGUGAAAUCCCCGAGCUUAACUUGGGAAUUGCAUUCGAUACUGGGAAGCUAGAGUAUGGGAGAGGAUGGUAGAAUUCCAGGUGUAGCGGUGAAAUGCGUAGAGAUCUGGAGGAAUACCGAUGGCGAAGGCAGCCAUCUGGCCUAAUACUGACGCUGANGUACGAAAGCAUGGGGAGCNAACAGGAUUAGAUACCCUGGUAGUCCAUGNCGUAAACGAUGUCUACUANCCGUUGGGGCCUUUGAGGCUUUAGUGGCGCAGCUAACGCGAUAAGUAGACCGNCUGGGGAGUACGGUCGCAAGACUAAAACUCAAAUGAAUUGACGGGGGCCCGCACAAGCGGUGGAGCAUGUG
rnacentral:rRNA from 1 species